rnacentral:rRNA from 1 species
CCUACGUGAGGCAGCAGUGAGGAAUAUUGGUCAAUGGGCUUACGCCUGAACCAGCCAAGUCGCGUGAGGGAAGAAUGCCCUAUGGGUUGUAAACCUCUUUUGUCAGGGAGCAACGCCGGCUACGUGUAGCCGGACUGAGAGUACCUGAAGAAAAAGCAUCGGCUAACUCCGUGCCAGCAGCCGCGGUAAUACGGAGGAUGCGAGCGUUAUCCGGAUUUAUUGGGUUUAAAGGGUGCGUAGGCGGGAUGCCAAGUCAGCGGUAAAAUCGCGGGGCUCAACCUCGCUCCGCCGUUGAAACUGGCGUUCUUGAGUGGGCGAGAAGUAUGCGGAAUGCGUGGUGUAGCGGUGAAAUGCAUAGAUAUCACGCAGAACUCCGGUUGCGAAGGCAGCAUACCGGCGCCCAACUGACGCUGAAGCACGAAAGCGUGGGUAUCGAACAGGAUUAGAUACCCGAGUAGUC